CAGCCCGGUCCCCUGCGGAUAAAGAAAAACGAAGCGCAGCCCCUCACAGCCACGCCUUGGUCCGUCUCUCCCCCUUGCUCUUCCUCCUCCUCCUCCUCCGGCCAUACCGGCCGGAGGCACGCCGUGCGGCUGACCGUGGGGGCACGCUUGGAAACUCUGCUGCUGCGAAUGAGGUUGAGGAGCAUAUAGCGGUGCUACAAUGCUACAAGACGGCAUACAACUGACGCCGGCCUCCACUUCCAACAGCACGGGCAAGACAAGAAACAAGGGGAAAGAGCUCAACGGAUCCGCCUCCACGGAGGAGGAGGAGAAGCGCCAGGGCAAUGGCGGCGACGCGCAGCCGCCGCCGGCGAGCACCUGCACGACGUGCGCCAAGGGGCACACGUGCCAGGCCGUGGUCAGCCGGACGCGGGAGAUGCGCAGCCUGAUCGACGCCAAGAAAUCUCACCAGGCGCAGGCCCUGUUCGGCCACCUCGCCGACGAGGGCCACCGCCCGUCCCUGGUGACGUACACCACCCUGCUCACCGCGGUGACGAACCAGCGCGCGUUCGAGGCGAUCCCUUCGCUGCUCGCCGGCAUCGACGCCGCCGGGCUGCGGCCGGACGCCAUCUUCUUCAACGCCCUCAUCAACUCCUUCGUGGAGGCCGGGCGGAUGGGCGAGGCCACCAGCACCUUCUGGAAGAUGAGCCGCCACCACCCGGGCUGCCGCCCCACCAUCAGCACCUUCAACACGCUCAUCAAGGGCUUCGGCAUCGCCGGCCGCCCCGACGAGUCGCAGCGCAUCUUCGACAUGAUGGCCGGCGGCGACGGCGCCGGGGUCGCGUCCACGGUGAGGCCCAACCUGACCACCUACAACAUCCUGGUGAAGGCGUGGUGCGACCACCGGAGGCUGGAGGAGGCGUGGGGCGUGGUGGGCCGGAUGCGGGCGCGCGGCGUGGAGCCCGACGUCGUCACCUACAACACCGUCGCCAGCGCCUACGCCAAGAACGACGAGACGUGGCGGGCGGAGGAGCUGGUGGUGGAGAUGGUGCGCGCCAGGCUGCGCACCAGCGAGCGCACCUGGGGAAUCAUCGUCGGCGGAUACUGCCGGGAGGGCAGGCUGGAGGAGGCGCUCCGCUGCGUCCGCCAGAUGAAGGACGCCGGCGUCCUCCCCAACGUCAUCGUCUUCAACACCCUCCUCAAGGGCUUCCUCGACGCCAACGACACGGCCGCCGCCGACGACGUACGCACGUGAGCUCAGAGCGAGCUCAGAGCUCACAAAACUCGAUUGAUUCUUGAUCUUAUGAUGUGCAGGUUCUCGGGCUGAUGGAGCAGUUCGGCAUCGAGCCGGACAUCGUGACGUACAGCCACCAGCUGAACGCCUUCAGCUCGCUGGGGCACAUGGCGAAGUGCAGCAAGGUGUUCGACACGAUGGUAGAGGCCGGGAUCGAGCCGGACCCGCAGGUGUACAGCAUCCUGGCCAAGGGCCACGUCCGGGCGCAGCAGCCCGGCAAGGCGGAGGAGCUCCUGGAGCGGAUGCGCCGCCUCGGCGUGCGCCCCAACGUCGUCACCUUCACCACCGUCAUCAGCGGCUGGUGCAGCGUCGCCGACAUGGACAACGCCGCCAGGGUGUACAAGAAGAUGCGGGACGCCGGCGUGCGCCCCAACCUCCGGACGUUCGAGACGCUCAUCUGGGGGUACAGCGAGCAGAAGCAGCCGUGGAAGGCCGAGGAGGUCCUCCGGAUGAUGCAGGAGGCCGGCGUCAGGCCGAAGCAGAGCACCUACAGCCUCGUCGCCGAUGCGUGGAAGGCCGUCGGCCUGGUCAAGAACGCCAACCGCAACCUCGGUUCCCCCGACGACCGUCGUCGCCCCGCCCCCAACGCGAGCGAUCACGACGAGCCGGACCGCCGUCCCGACGACGACGACGACAAGCUGCAGAGAUCCGGAAGAGCCAGUGAGCAGGCAACGAGUGAUCCAUCAUCACGUGCCAGUUUCGUGCAGGUGACAAGCGCGCUAGGGACAGGCAGGGCUGGAGACUUUGCAUCGUCGGCGCCGCCGUCGUCGUCGUCGCCGUGGCGAUCGUGUCAGCUCCGACUGCGAUCCUCGGGGUUUUGCAGGGAGCGAAGGCAGAAGCAGGGUGGGCUGUACAGUCACAGCAUCAGCUCAAUCAAGAUGGUCUUCCUCAGUUAAGAGGCGGCCAUGUUUGCUGUUCAGCACAUGUACACUACUACCUGUAAAACCCAAUUCUUCCCCAAAAUUUAUCUCCUGACCGUAGAUGCUGGUCAUUUUUGUAUGAUUCUGCACACACAUUGGUCUUCGAUUCAGAUGUCUCACUCUCACCAUUCCACAGAUCAGACUCCCCUCAAACAGCAUGUGUGAUCUAUGAUACCAACUGAAUGCUAUGCUCUCAAUCAAACA
rnacentral:rRNA from 1 species